rnacentral:rRNA from 1 species
GAGUUUUGAUCAUGGCUCAGGAUGAACGCUAGCUACAGGCUUAACACAUGCAAGUCGAGGGGAAACGAUAUUGGAAGCUUGCUUCCGAUAGGCGUCGACCGGCGUACGGGUGAGUAACGCGUAUCCAACCUGCCCACCACUUGGGGAUAACCUUGCGAAAGUAAGACUAAUACCCAAUGACGUCUCUAGAAGACAUCUGAAAGAGAUUAAAGAUUUAUCGGUGAUGGAUGGGGAGUGCGUCUGAUUAGCUUGUUGGCGGGGUAACGGCCCACCAAGGCGACGAUCAGUAGGGGUUCUGAGAGGAAGGCCCCCCACCAUUGGAACUGAGACACAGUCCAAACUCCUACGGGAGGCAGCA